CAAGCCUGAUAUUUGGAGGAUAACAUGAAUAGAACUCAAUCCUGAUCCAGGGGGAAGAGAAUAACUGAUUUCCUCUAUCCUUUGCAAAAAUGCAAUGAGUAUACUGUAGAAGGAGGUGAUGACUGAUGAAUCCAGCAAGCAAAAUACGAACCUGGAAUGGAGAUUUGGCAUCCUACUAAGGAAAAAUGUCAACCAUCCAGGUGCUGUACUCUAUCCACUGUUCCACUUACCUCCCUGGAGAUCCUAUUAAUUACCCAUUUUAAAGAUGAAGAAACUGAGGCUGAGAGACAUUAAGUGUCAUGUUGCUAGCCACUGAGGCAGAUUUCAAAUUCAAACUUUCCUGAAUCCAAGGUCAGUCAAUGACUAUUCCCUUAUGCUAAAUUUCUUCCUUAGUUGGCCCUGACAAUUCCUACAAGCUCUAAGUCUAUGAUUGUAGAGUCUGAUGAUUUUGUCAUAUUUCUGAGCAGAGAAGAAUAU
rnacentral:lncRNA from 1 species